CCUACGGGAGGCAGCAGUGGGGAAUAUUGCGCAAUGGGCGAAAGCCUGACGCAGCGACGCCGCGUGAGGGAGGAAGGUCUUCGGAACGUAAACCUCUGUCAGCAGGGAAGAACGGUCACUGUGCUAAUCAGCGGUGAAUUGACGGUACCUGCAAAGGAAGCACAGGCUAACUCCGUGCCAGAAGCCGCGGUAAUACGGCGGGUGCGAGCGUUAAUCGGAAUUACUGGGAGUAAAGCGCGCGUAGGCGGUAUGUCAAGUCAAGGGUGAAAUCCCCGCGCUCAACGUGGGAACUGCCUUUGAAACUGGCAAACUUGAGUGUGUGAGAGGAUAGUGGAAUUCCAGGUGUAGGAGUGAAAUCCGUAGAUAUCUGGAGGAACAUCAGUGGCGAAGGCGACUAUCUGGCACAUCACUGACGCUGAGGAGCGAAAGCGUGGGUAGCAAACAGGAUUAGAUACCCUUGUAGUC
rnacentral:rRNA from 1 species